UUGGGCUUAAGCCUGGUGAUCUAAACCCAUUAUCCUAGUUUGUUAUCUUAAUAGGUCCAAGUCCAACCCGAAAACGGUUCGAAUCGUAAAAUGACGAAUCACUAACCUAGAAAUUCCAAAAUGCAAAUUAAUAACCUUGCGUUUGAGGCCAUUGCAAUUUUUCACUCAUCAUCUUUGGCUUAGGUUUUUCUUUUCUUUUUUUGUUUAACCAUGGUAGUUUUGUGUCUUCUGUCCAUAAUCCGUGAAUCCAGCAUGAACGUUGUCCGGUUCGAUGAGUGAAAAAUAAACAAGAUUUUGAGUUAACCGGUUUGGUUGAAUUACUGGAUCAUUGGUAAGUGGUAACCAUAAAAGGAGAUGGUUUUUUAGUGUUAGUACGAGUUAAAACCAACGCAAAAGAUGAUGGUGAUAAUAGAAUCCAUUAUUUCGGUCUUCAACGGUUAAAAUACAAGAGAAGUGAUGUAAAGUGAGUAUAAUGAGUCAUGACUCGUGUUAAUUAAAAGGUUAAAAAGUAUAAGUUGGACCUACUUCUUUUGAUGUGGUAAUAAUUAUUGCUUUAUAGCUUUUUUCCUCAUCUCAUGCAUUUCUAGAAUAAAGCACAUCUUAUUCUCAUGGUCGUAGAUUGCUAGCAAAUAGGUUUAAUCUUGGUUUUUAUUUGGUACAUAUGCUGCCAGUGCCAGGGAUGAUUAUUUUAGUCUUAACCGGAUAAAUCCGUUAUGGUGUGAUCGGGUUUUGGUGUUUUGGCUGAAAAUGGAGACCAAGGCUUGUUUGCCACUGAACCGGAAAUGAGAAUCACGACUGCCACUUUAGAGUCUCAAUGCCAUCCAUAUAGUGGAUAAUACUAUUAUACCCUUAGUUGGUUAUAUGUGGUUUAAGUCUGGUUAAGACAUCAGCUGGUUUGUUUGAAGAGUGAAGAAUAAGACAAUUCAAAGACUCUUUUUGGUUUAGAGAGUUCUCUUCUUCUUCUUCUUCUCUUUUGACCCGAAACUUUCUCUUCUUCCUGUGAAAGCUUAAGCUCUGAUUCUCGUUGUUGCUCUUGAGUGUAACAAUGAUCUUUCAUAAUGGUUUUCUGGAUAGAAUCUCUCCCUAGACGUAGAUCUCUUCACAUCGACGAAUUGAACUAGAAGCUGUUCGACAGAUUGCCCAAGAGAGAUAUCAAUCUGCUAAUGCAUACAAGGUGUUUGAUAAAAUGCUUGAGAGAGAUCUUGUGGCUUGAAAUUUUGUGAUUAAUGGUGUUGCAGAAAACGGUAAACUAAACGAAGUUUUGGCGCUUUAUACUUAAAUGGAUUAUAAGGGUAUCAAGUCUAAUGGGUUCACAAUCGUUAGCUUGUUGUCUACUUGUGAAAAGUUUGGUGCUUUGAUAGUAAGUAAGAGAGUUUAUGUAUAUAUUAUGAUCAAAGUGGGUUUGACACGAACUUACAUUCCAACAAUGUACUUUUGAACUUGUAUGUCAGAUGUAGAAGAGUCGAAGAAGCCAAAACACUUAAGCGAUUGAGCUUUUUAGGAAUAUGGAAUUAGGUUCGACUGAGUACAACUAAGACCAUAAAUGUAUAUGUAUUUCUAUACAACAAAUAUGAAAAUGAUAAAUUAGAGUUAAUAAA